GACGAACGCUGGCGGCAUGCCUUACACAUGCAAGUCGAACGGCAGCACGGGUGCUUGCACCUGGUGGCGAGUGGCGAACGGGUGAGUAAUACAUCGGAACGUACCUUAUCGUGGGGGAUAACGCAGCGAAAGCUGUGCUAAUACCGCAUACGCCCUGAGGGGGAAAGCGGGGGAUCGAAAGACCUCGCGCGAUUAGAGCGGCCGAUGCCUGAUUAGCUUGUUGGUGGGGUAAAAGCCCACCAAGGCGACGAUCAGUAGCUGGUCUGAGAGGACGAUCGGCCACACUGGGACUGAGACACGGCCCAGACUCCUACGGGGGGCAGCAGUGGGGAAUUUUGGACAAUGGGGGCAACCCUGAUCCAGCAAUGCCGCGUGAGUGAAGAAGGCCUUCGGGUUGUAAAGCUCUUUUGUCAGGGAAGAAACACCGGCUCUAACACAGUCCGGGAAUGACGGUACCUGAAGAAUAAGCACCGGCUAACUACGUGCCAGCAGCCGCCGUAA
rnacentral:rRNA from 1 species